rnacentral:rRNA from 1 species
UUUCCCGGUUGAUCCCGCCGGACCUAACUGCUAUCGGAUUGGUACUAAGCCAUGCGAGUCGUUGUAGCAAUACAAGGCGGACGGCUCAGUAACACGUAGUCAACCUAACCACUGGACGUGGAUAACCUCGGGAAACUGAGAAUAAACCACGAUAGAUCAUUAUGCCNGGAAUGGCUUAUGGUCCAAACAAUUUAUUGCCGUAGGAUGGGACUGCGGCCUAUCAGCUUGUUGGUGAGGUAAUGGCCCACCAAGGCUAUAACAGGUACGGGCUCUGAGAGGAGAAGCCCGGAGAUGGGUACUGAGACACGGACCCAGGCCCUAUGGGGCGCAGCAGGCGAGAAACCUUAGCAAUGUGCGAAAGCACGACUAGGUUAAUCCGAGUGAUUUCUGUUGAAGAAAUCUUUUGUCAGUCGUAAAACCACAGACGAAUAAGGGGUGGGCAAGUCUGGUGUCAGCCGCCGCGGUAAUACCAGCACCUCGAGU